rnacentral:rRNA from 1 species
AGUGAACGCUGGCGGUAGGCCUAACACAUGCAAGUCGAACGGCAGCACAGUAAGAGCUUGCUCUUACGGGUGGCGAGUGGCGGACGGGUGAGGAAUACAUCGGAAUCUACUUUUUCGUGGGGGAUAACGUAGGGAAACUUACGCUAAUACCGCAUACGACCUACGGGUGAAAUCAGGGGAUCUUCUGACCUUGCGCGAUUGAAUGAGCCGAUGUCGGAUUAGCUAGUUGGCGGGGUAAAGGCCCACCAAGGCGACGAUCCGUAGCUGGUCUGAGAGGAUGAUCAGCCACACUGGAACUGAGACACGGUCCAGACUCCUACGGGAGGCAGCAGUGGGGAAUAUUGGACAAUGGGCGCAAGCAUGAUCCAGCAAUACCGCGUGGGUGAAGAAGGACUUCGGGUUGUAAAGCCCUUUUGUUGGGAAAGAAAAGCAGCAGGUUAAUACCCCGCUGUUCUGACGGUACCCAAAGAAUAAGCACCGGCUAACUUCGUG